rnacentral:rRNA from 1 species
AUUGAACGCUGGCGGAAUGCUUUACACAUGCAAGUCGAACGGCAGCACGGGGGCAACCCUGGUGGCGAGUGGCGAACGGGUGAGUAAUACAUCGGAACGUGCCCAGUCGUGGGGGAUAACGUAGCGAAAGUUACGCUAAUACCGCAUACGAUCUACGGAUGAAAGCGGGGGACCGUAAGGCAUCGCGCGAUUGGAGCGGCGGAGGUCAGAUUAGGUAGUUGGUGAGGUAAAGGCUCACCAAGCCGACGAUCUGUAGCUGGUCUGAGAGGACGACCAGCCACACUGGGACUGAGACACGGCCCAGACUCCUACGGGAGGCAGCAGUGGGGAAUUUUGGACAAUGGGCGCAAGCCUGAUCCAGCCAUUCCGCGUGCAGGACGAAGGCCUUCGGGUUGUAAACUGCUUUUGUACGGAACGAAAGGGCUCUGGUUAAUACCUGGGGCUCAUGACGGUACCGUAAGAAUAAGCACCGGCUAACUACGUGCCAGCAGCCGCGGUAA